rnacentral:rRNA from 1 species
UACGUAGGGUGCAAGCGUUAUCCGGAAUUAUUGGGCGUAAAGAGCUCGUAGGCGGUUUGUCGCGUCUGCUGUGAAAACUGGAGGCUCAACCUCCAGCCUGCAGUGGGUACGGGCAAACUAGAGUGCGGUAGGGGAGAUUGGAAUUCCUGGUGUAGCGGUGGAAUGCGCAGAUAUCAGGAGGAACACCGAUGGCGAAGGCAGGUCUCUGGGCAUUAACUGACGCUGAGGAGCGAAAGCAUGGGGAGCGAACAGG